UAGUGGAAAUAUGUGUGCGCGUGAUGCACCUGACUACUAUCAUCCCUCCUUACUUCUUCUGCAGAACUAAUAUCUGAGCCUGGGAGCACAGGGCUGCUAGAGAUAUUAGCUUCUAGGUGACUUAUAACAUCAAAGACAUUAAAACCCACUGAGUUUGUAUGUUAUGUUCUUUCCCAAAGGCAGAGUAUUUGUCCAGGUCCUUCUCCUACCAAGGGUCUCCUGAAGAGCGCUCAACUUUUUGCCUUGAACUGGGAUGGAGGAUGAUCUAGACCGCAGCAAGGGGAGUGCAUCGUCACACCCUGUCUUGGUGAAGGAACACUGCAGCACAGAGUCUUUGUCUGCUCUAGGAUAUUGGAGAUGUGGCUCAAUCAGAGGUUAGAAUGGGAAAAAGAAGAACAAAUCAGAAUUCUCAUGAAGUAAAACAACUUUAGUCACUUCAGCACUUCAGUUUUAUACAACGAUGUCAAGAGCGUAAGUUAAAAACACCCGGAUAGUCCUUCUCUUCCAAAGUGCUUGACUUUACCCCCAUGAGAUUGUUCUUUCAGCCCAGCUUUUUGUGCAUACCACAUAUGUAUGUACUUGUAUAGCCUGUUUAUUUACCUACAAAAACUAGCCGCUGUUUUAAAAAUUUUAGGUAGUAGGAGGAGAAAGGACUUUUCAAAAGCCUGAUAUAAAAGUAAUACAGUGCAGAAGGAAGGUAAAUGGAAAGGUAAAAUAGCAAUGUAAGAAUAUUGACAGUCGAAACCUGUAAUGCAGACCUUUUGAGCCAGCAGCCUGGCAUGCCCUGCCAGUCUGACAUUAGCAUUGCCACAAGGGAGGCCUCAGUUUGCUUGACCUUGAGAUUCUUGUUCUCGGGAUAAAUAGAAAAUAGGAUAAUACUGAGGUAAUACUUUCCCUCCAGAGGAAGGUGCAGUUUAUUAGUAGUCUUUACAUGUUGUUAUUUUGCUUAUCAUGGAAAAUAGCCUUGGAAGGAACUGGCUGCCUCACUUCCGUGGGCACAGAGCAAUUAUAUGUUAGGGGACUGUGGGAGCAGCAAGUUAAGAGAAACUGACUACUGAAAUAAGGGAAAGAUUGUUCUGUUAAAGCCAAAGCUGAUACUAAGCUCAGUUAGUGCCUCUGCGAACAUAUUCAGGCAAAGAGUGAAGCCUGUCUCCCUGACGUACCCCAGCAGCUACCUUCCCGAUCCCCUACCAGGAUGGUGCCGGCACCGUUGCGUUGAUCACUCCAACUCUGCCUCGAGACCAGAGGCAAACAAGGAUUUUCUAGUUAAACAGUUCGCUUUUGGAAAAUGC
rnacentral:lncRNA from 1 species